GGCCAGGAUGGGGUGGCGGCCGCAACCUCCGAAAACCCGAGUACUCGAUCGGGUAGCUUCCGAGCAAAGCGGCGAGGACACGCUCGCGCGCCGCCGGCGAUGUACGGCGCCCCCGACACCGCCGCCGCGGAGCGCACGGCGUUCCGGCGGGCGGAGAAGCAGUACAAGCUCUACAAGCCUCCCAAUCCAAAGGGCAGGUCCAGGUCAAGGAGAAAGCCGACCGGCGGCGAUGGUGGCGGGGGUGGCGACCUGUCCGCGGUGGUCGACUUUCACGCUUUGCUUGCCGCUGACGGGGAGCUGCCAGCCGGGAUCGGGCGGCGCGACUGCGCCGGGUUCGACCGCCCCGUGUUCUGCUUCUUGGACCGGUCGGGAUUUUAUUUCAUUCCCGGUGCUCUAUCUACUGAGGAACAAUGCUAUUGGAUUAGGGAAAGCUUGAAAACAUUUCCACAGCCACCUAAUAGGACUAACUUGACUGCUAUGUACGGUUCGAUUUCUGACUUACUCAUUGCUGCAAAAAAUCAAAAGAUCUUGGUUGAAGUGAAAAAUCCUGAUGACCAAGAAAGAAAUGAACAGAAUAAUAGUGGAGGAAAAACACAAUCCAAAAACUUCAAAUUUGUGGAGGAGUUAGAGAUCCAAAAGGGGGAAGUGUGUAGUUCGACCACAGCAAGUACUCUUGUACGCAAGCUCCGGUGGAGCACCCUUGGUCUGCAGUUUGAUUGGUCAAAACGCAACUAUGAUGUAUCACUUCCACACAACAACAUUCCAGAUCCGCUAGCUAGUCUUGCCAAAAAGAUGGCUAUUCCAGCUAUGCCUUCUGGAGAAGAAUUCAAGCCAGAAGCUGCCAUAGUGAACUAUUAUGGUCCAAGUGACAUGCUUGGUGGCCAUGUUGACGACAUGGAAGCAGAUUGGACAAAACCUAUUGUAAGCAUAAGUUUGGGAAGCAAGUGCAUCUUUCUUCUUGGAGGAAAGACAAGAGAUGAAGUUCCAACAGCAAUGUUCCUGCGAAGCGGUGAUAUUGUAUUGAUGGCUGGGGAAGCACGAGAACACUUCCAUGUUGGACCAAAAUACCCAGAUCUGCCACCCUUCUUUCUCUCCACAGCCUCCUAGAAUCCCAGAUCCGCCACUCCUCUCCCUUCGUUGUCUGGUGAGUGCCCCUUUCCCUCUGACCGGUGAGUCCUCCUCGCCAUCUGAAUGGUGUUGCAAAGCUGCGCAGCAUGUCAUGGUGCCGGCCGCUGUCGGGAGCGCGCCCACAAGCUGCCGGUUGAGGUAAGGGCAUGGAUCCGGGCAAGGCAGAGGCGCGGAGUAGAGGCAGAGGGAGAUGCACCACUAUUGAUGCGCAAGUGAAAGCUUGGACAGCAGUGCAGAACUGGGCGGCACAGCAAGUUUCUCACAACCUUGCCAUCUUCGACAGUACAUGCAUCCCCGUCUUCCAUGAUGGCCGCUGCAGGACUCUGCUGGCAAGGUGUACCACGGAUCUUCACUGAAAGUGACGAGCAAGAAAUCUCUGCAUUGGUUUCACAUUUAUCUGGUAAAGAUGACCAGUUUAUCUUGGACUACAUCAAGAAUUCCAGGAUAAAUAUCAACAUCAGACAGGUCUACUGA